UAAUAUCGCCAAAAGAUUUUAUUAAAAGUCUGAUACGUCAAAUUAAGAUAACAAUCCACAUAAUUUGCUACUAUUUCCUCUAUUCAUUUCAUCGUCGGGAAAAAAAACUGUUGAUGGGCAAGAAACUUGACGAUCUCGACUAACACAGGAGCUUUACGCCAAUUAUUAAAAUAAGAUUUCAAAAGAGUAUUUUUAAAAAAAUGUGAUGUCUUCGAGUAGUUUCGAAUAAAUAUAAACAACUCUAUCUUUAGUUCAGCCUUGCUGUUUGAUUGCGAUUUCGAAAAGCAGUAAAAUGAAAAAGGAAAAUCGGAAGAACGAUUCCGAGAACAAAAUCUAGAACCUUAGUCAAUAGUGUAGGAUCCAGACAAUUGUUUAUGGUCUACAGCUUUUGCUGUUCGUCAUGUGACAAUAACGAAACCUUACACUUUAAAAAGCUGGUGAAGAUCUAGAAAAGUGGAAAAGCUUUUGGAAGUAUGUCCUGACGAACUAUAUGAGGUCCACAGCUGCAACCAUGGUUGACCAGUGGUGAUUUGGGACCAGUAUUUUACGGUACUUGUUGAGGAAAUGAGUCAACAUUGGAAAUGACCUAGAAGGAAAGCAAAAUAUUUUUAUGAAUACAGCAUUAAUUUCACCUAAAAUAAAAC